AUUUGCAUGGACUUGAUACGUUCAUAAAUAGAUAAGCACGAUUCACUUAUUCAACAGUUGUUACAAACAUUUAGAAUGAAAAUUUUAUUUGUGCUAAUUUCGUUCACUUUUAUUUCGUACUCUUACUCUUGUACGAUUUUUUGUGAAACUUGCGACACAGUUGAGUGCCAAAAACCACCCUUAAAAUGUCCUGCGGGACAAGUGAUUGGGAAGGGAGGAUAUUGUUACUGUUGCGAUGUGUGCAUCACUGUUUUAGGGGAGAACGAAAGAUGUUCCAGUGAUUGUGCAAACCCACCACCCACAAGGCGCUGUAAAUCUGGCCUAAUGUUAUUAUUAUUAAAAAAAGUACAAAUUUAAAUUUCAAAAGCGGCAUCUGACUAGUGUUAGUUAUACUAGAAAAAUAAUUAAUACGGCAUCCUGCCGUAAUAAACACACAUCUAAUUAUUGUAGAAUUCUAAAAAUAUUACAGGUAGUUAUACUGAGGUGUUCUGUGAUUAUACUUAAAUGAAUUAAUGGUAGAUGUCUCUAACAUUGAACAACUAAAGACUAAAGUUCUAAUCAAGUCUUAGAAGUAUAGUAUAAAUUAAAUACAUAAUCCGUUUUAUUAUAUAAGCAUAGAGGUGAUAAUUAGCAAUUCUGCAAUAUUUUCAGUUAAUCAGGGGGUUCACAUACCAGGUAGAAUGAGAUAUUUGUUUUUUUGUAAAAUGUAGUCGAGCAAUUUAUAAAGAAAACGGAGAAAAAACACGAGGUGGAUGGUGUAAUUGUAGUGACGUCUACAAACUAUUCUGUGUAAGUACUAAAAAAUAAAAAAUUGUUGGGAAUGUGCAUAAUUUAUAAAAAUCCCCGAUUUUGCAUAAAAAUAAUUACAUUUUAUCACCGUAUAAUUUAAAUUGCUAAUCGUGUAAGGGUACAACUAUAAAAUUAUAAAAAUCUUCCCAAAAGCUCAUCAGUGUUAACUAUGAAAUCGUUUGUUGUAACACUUCUCCUGGUAACUCUGGUUUACCAGGUGACUUCGAUAAUUUUAUGUCCGCCAUGUGUUCCGGAAAAAUGUGCGCAAGUUAAAUGUAACGCGAACCAAACCCUCGUUGAAAAGGCUAACUGUGGUUGUUGUCCCUUGUGCAUCACCUAUUUGGGAAAGGGUGAGAAAUGUCUGCAAAUUGUAAUUCUGGGUGGACCUCCAACAACAAUUAUGUGUGCUGAUGGUUUGGAGUGCAUUAAGGGCGUAUGUGCUGAUCCAAAUACAACAAAUUAAACAAUUUUUACCCAAUGAUAUUGUUAAAUAAACUAUAUUUACAAUGAA